rnacentral:rRNA from 1 species
GGUUUCGCCAAAAGGUCGCACUGAUCCCUCCGGAAGCCUUGUACGUUGCCCGGUCCACCUUGGCGUGGGCGACACUCGUCUGUUGCUGGAAAUAAUCCUCCCUUUGGGAGUCAAUCAGCUGCUGUAUAUCAACUCAUAUACAGCCCACAGAUCAAACACGAGUGGCUAUUCCCCUUCCUAUCUAGGACGGUGGGUUUUAGUUAAGAUAUGACCGUAGCUGCCCUGUAAGGGGCUGGAGAUACUAGUUCCGUAGGUGAACCUGCGGAAGGAUCAUUACAGAGAGGGGGCCCCCGGGCUCCCGGGGGCUUCGGCCCCCGCCUCUUCACCCUGUGUAUACAUACCUUUGUUGCUUUGGCGGGCCCUGAGGGACUCCUCACGCCGGUCCCCUGGCCUCGCGGCCUCGGUCGGCCCGUGCCCGUCAGAGGCCCAUUCAAUUCUGUUUCAUCAGUGUCGUCCGAGCUAAAAACACAAUUAUAAAAACUUUCAACAACGGAUCUCUUGGUUCCAGCAUCGAUGAAGAACGCAGCGAAAUGCGAUAAGUAAUGUGAAUUGCAGAAUUCAGUGAAUCAUCGAAUCUUUGAACGCACAUUGCGCCCCUCGGUAUUCCGGGGGGCAUGCCUGUUCGAGCGUCAUUAACACCCCUCAAGCGUAGCUUGGUACUGAGUCUUCGCCGUCUCGGCGGGCUCGAAAAGCAGUGGCGGUCCGGCGAGACUUCAAGCGUAGUAGAUAAACCCACCCGCUUUGGAAGCCUUCUCGUCGCGACCCGCCAGUCAACCUCACACUCUGACGAUUGACCUCGGAUC